GCCGACCUAGCUCAGUUGGUAGAGCAGGUGUUUCGUAAACACCAGGUCAUCGGUUCGAGUCCGAUGGUCGGCUCCA
rnacentral:tRNA from 1 species